CAGUCGCCGCGGUAAUACAGAGGAUGCAAGCGUUAUCCGGAAUGAUUGGGCAUAAAGUGUCUGUAGGUGGCUUUUCAAGUCCGCCGUCAAAUCCCAGGGCUCAACCCUGGACAGGCGGUGGAAACUACCAAGCUAGAGUACGGUAGGGGCAGAGGGAAUUUCCGGUGGAGCGGUGAAAUGCGUUGAGAUUGGAAAGAACACCAACGGUGAAAGCACUCUGCUGGGCCGACACUGACACUGAGAGACGAAAGCUAGGGGAGCAAAUGGGAUUAGAUACCCCGGUAGUCCCUGUCUCUUAUAC
rnacentral:rRNA from 1 species